CAGCAGCAGGACUCUGCAGGGUUUCUCAUCACUUUCUCUUUGUGCUUCCAGGUGCCUCUGGGAUUUGAAGUCCACAAUUGUAGCCAGCAGUAACUGCAGGUUAAAGACAGAAUUCCCUUCCCAGAUCCUGGAGUUAUGCCUAACCGCUAAUGCCGAAUGCUGACCAAACUCAGAGUCACACUGGAAUGGCGGAGAAGAAUCAAUUUAAUGUCUGUAGAGCACUUUGGAAGGAGAGCUGUUAUAUGAGCGUGAGAAUUGUGGCUCAACCACUCCAGCAUCCCGUCUGUCUCUGAAAGGUGCCAGCUCCUGAUGCUGUAAAGGGAAGUGAAGACACUGCACAAUAGCAAUUUGCAAAGGUUUUCCAGGCGACCGCCAAAGGAAUUGAAGAUGGAGGGGAGGGAGAGAAGAGAAGAGAAGUGAACGCUCCCUGAAAGCAUUCACAUCUGAUGGCACAAGUCUAUUGGGAACGUGUAUGGAACAGAACAGAAUAUGACCUAAUUUGAAAGAGGCUGCAGUUCAUCGGCAGGAGGGAUUUAAACACUGUUCAGACUGACAUUUUCCCUCAUCUCGCAUCCCGUGGGGUACCUGAUUGCAAAUUUAUAAUCCACCAGAGGUCUUGCCAUCAGAAGAUACAGACUUACAGUAACAGCAACUAAUUUUUAAAAGAUCUCCAGCGCAUCAGUGUCUGGGGCUGGUUUACACAGACUAAUUAAUCCUUAUUUGACCUGAAUUAACUCUUAAUCUGUGUGAAAUGAAAGAGCUUUACUGGGAUACGGCAAAUUUUAGAAGAUGGGAAAAUCCUUUCUGUGCGCGAGGCUUCUGCCUCUGGGUGACACAGAUUAAAAGAGGUGCUGGGUUGCUGCUGGAAAUUAGGUCCUUCCUUUUUAUUUUUUUCCCUUUCUCCUUUCUCCAACCAGAACAUGCAGGAGAGGAGACAGUGUUCCUCUUUCUUCAGCACAAAGCAGAGGAAGGUUAUAUCAUUAAAAGACACUCUGGGAUUUGAAUUAAA